CCUGGUAGCAGUGCACACCUGUGAUCCCAGCUACUCGGGAGGCUGAGGCAGGAGGAUCACUUGAGCCCAGGAGCUGGGGACCAGCCUGGGUAACAUAGUGAGAACCUGUCUCUA
rnacentral:sRNA from 1 species